rnacentral:rRNA from 1 species
AUUGAACGCUGGCGGCAGGCCUAACACAUGCAAGUCGAACGAGUGGCGGAGGUGUGAGUAAUGUCUGGGAAACUGCCUGAUGGAGGGGGAUAACUACUGGACACUGUAGCUAAUACCGCAUACUAUCAGAUGUGCCCAGAUGGGUUUAGCGAGUUGGUGGGGUAACGGCGCACCAAGGCGACGAUCCCUUGCUGGUCUGAGAGGAUGACCAGCCACACUGGAACUGAGACACGGUCCAGACUCCUACGGGAGGCAGCAGUGGGGAAUAUUGCACAAUGGGCGCAAGCCUGAUGCAGCCAUGCCGCUUGUAUGAAGAAGGCCUUCGGGUUGUAAAUUACUUUCAGCGGGGAGGCGUUACCCGCAGAAGAAGCACCGGCUAACUCCGUGCCAGCAGCCGCGGUAAUUC